CAGCAGCCGCGGUAAAACGUAGGGUGCGAGCGUUAAUCGGAAUUACUGGGCGUAAAGGGUGCGUAGGCGGUUUGGUAAGUCUCGUGUGAAAUCUUCAGGCUCAACCUGAAGUCUGCACGAGAAACUGCCGGGCUUGAGUAUUGGAGAGGUGAGUGGAAUUCCAGGUGUAGCGGUGAAAUGCGUAGAUAUCUGGAGGAACAUCUGUGGCGAAAGCGGCUCACUGGACAAUAACUGACGCUGAUGCACGAAAGCUAGGGGAGCAAACAGGAUUAGAGACCCCCGUAGUCCCUGUCUCUUAUAC
rnacentral:rRNA from 1 species